rnacentral:rRNA from 1 species
GACGAACGCUGGCGGCAGGCCUAACACAUGCAAGUCGAGCGGAAAGGUCGUGCUUUUGUGGGGUGCUCGGGUUGACAAGGGGUGAGAUACCUGUGAGUAACCUGCCCUUGACUGUGGGAUGACUUCAGAAAACUGGGGCUAAUACCGGAUAGGAGCUCCCGCUGCAUGGUGGGCGUGGGAAAGUUUCGGCGGUUGGGGAUGGACUCGCGGCUUAUCAGGUUGUUGGUGGGGUAGUGGCUUACCAAGACUUUGACGGAUAGCCGGCCUGAGAGGGUGACCGGCCACCUUGGGACGGAGAGAGGGCCCAGACUGCUACGGGAGGCAGCAGGGGGGAAUAUAGCACAGUGAGCGGAAGCCUGAUGCAGCAACGCCGGGUGCGGGAUGACGGCCGUCGGGUGGGAAACCGCUUUCGCCUGGGACGAAGCGUGAGUGACGUUAAUGGGUAAAGAAGCACCGGCUAACUACGUG